rnacentral:rRNA from 1 species
CCUACGGGUGGCAGCAGUGAGGAAUAUUGGUCAAUGGACGAGAGUCUGAACCAGCCAAGUAGCGUGAAGGAUGACUGCCCUAUGGGUUGUAAACUUCUUUUAUAUGGGAAUAAAAUGUUCCACGUGUGGGAUUUUUUAUGUACCAUAUGAAUAAGGAUCGGCUAACUCCGUGCCAGCAGCCGCGGUAAUACGGAGGAUCCGAGCGUUAUCCGGAGUUAUUGGUUUUAAAGGGAGCGUAGGUGGAUUGUUAAGUCAGUUGUGAAAGUUUGCGGCACAACCGUAAAAUUGCAGUUGAAAUGGGCAGUCUUGAGGACAGUAGAGGUGGGCGGAAUGCGUGGUGUAGCGGUGAAAUGCUUAGAUAACACGAAGAACUCAGAUUGCGAAGGCAGCUCACUGGACUGCAACUGACACUGAGGCUCGAAAGUGUGGGUAUCAAACAGGAUUAGAUACCCCUGUAGUC